CUCCUGCUCCUCCUGGCGUCCACGCGCGCGGCGUCCGCGGCCGGCGCCGGCGCCUGCGCGGCCGAGAAGUUCCCGGCGGGGAAGACAUAUGCCAAGUGCGAGGACCUCCCGCAGCUGGGCGCCGCGCUGCACUGGACCUACGACGAGGCCAAGUCGUCGCUCUCGCUGGCGUUCGUGGCGGCGCCGGCGGGUGCCAACGGGUGGGUGGCCUGGGCGCUGAACCCCACCGGCGAGGGCAUGGCCGGCGCGCAGGCGCUCGUGGCGCUCAAGGGCUCCGGCUCCGCCGCCCCCACCGUUAGGACGUACAACAUCACCGGCUACGUGCCGCUCGGCAAGGCCUCCACGCCCAUCGCCUUCCCGGCCACCGACCUCGCCGCCGACUCCGGCAGCGGCGGCAAGAUCCGGCUCUACGGCAAGCUGCAGCUGCACAGCGGGAUGAAGGCGGUGAACCACAUAUGGCAGGUCGGCACCUCCGUCACCGCCGGGGCCCCCGACAAGCACGCCUUCGCCGCCGGCAACCUCGCCUCGAAGUCCAAGCUCGUCCUCUCGGGCAAAGCGGCCUCCGCGGCCUCGCCUUCGCCGGCGCCCGCCCCCAUGGCCGGUGGCCCGUCCGGAUCGGCCGGCAGCGACGGCGGCGCUUCGGCGACCACGGCGCCUUCAGCCGGCAAGUCCCCGUCGGGCGCGGCCGCGGUCGGCGUGUCGGCGCCGGCACUCCUCGUGCUCGCGUUGAUGGGCCUCCUCGCGGUGGUAUGAUGGCAUUUCCUGGCGGUAGCACGAAUGAAUGAGUACGUACUAUAAUUAGUGGAGGUGGCAGUGGGCAUGGGGAGGAAGCAUUUCUUGAACAAUAUAUUUGUUCCAUUUUUGUCGAUCGAUCUUGCUAUGCUGCCUAUUCUUUUUCCUAAUUUCGUUUGAAAUAAAAGAUGGUUUGCGUACUAAUUAUUAUUAUCGAGCUGUUGUUUUUAGGUAGAAGUACGUAGCACCGCUAGCAGUUGGUGAUUAUUGUAUUUUUUUUUGCGAGAGGUGAUUAUUGUAGUAGUACUAUUGUGGUCGACAUGUCACUGAAUUUGUCAUAUGACUAAUAAGUAUAAAUUUUAUCAUCAAAGGAGCAAAUGUUUGGUAG
rnacentral:lncRNA from 1 species